rnacentral:rRNA from 1 species
CCAGUGAGUGGCGGACGGGUGAGUAACACGUAGGUAACCUGCCCCGGAGCGGGGGAUAACAUUUGGAAACAGAUGCUAAUACCGCAUAACAACAAAAGCCACAUGGCUUUUGUUUGAAAGAUGGCUUUGGCUAUCACUCUGGGAUGGACCUGCGGUGCAUUAGCUAGUUGGUAAGGUAACGGCUUACCAAGGCGAUGAUGCAUAGCCGAGUUGAGAGACUGAUCGGCCACAAUGGAACUGAGACACGGACCAGACUCCUACGGGAGGCAGCAGUGAGGAAUAUUGGUCAAUGGCCGAGAGGCUGAACCAGCCAAGUCGCGUGAGGGAAGAAUGUCCUAAGGAUUGUAAACCUCUUUUGUCGGGGAGCAAAAAGGCUCUGCGGAGUCGUAUUGAGAGUACCCGAAGAAAAAGCAUCGGCUAACUCCGUGCCAGCAGCCGCGGUAAUACGGAGGAUGCGAGCGUUAUCCGGAUUUAUUGGGUUUAAAGGGUGCGCAGGCGGCGUGUCAAGCAAGCGGUAAAAUAGCGGGGCUCAACCCCGUCGAGCCGUUUGAACUGGCGCGCUUGAGUUCAGGCGAGGUAGGCGGAAUUCGUGGUGUAGCGGUGAAAUGCAUAGAUAUCACGAAGAACUCCGAUUGCGAAGGCAGCUUACCAGUCUGCGACUGACGCUCAGGCACGAAAGUGUGGGUAUCGAACAGGAUUAGAUACCCUGGUAGUCCACACAGUAAACGAUGAGCGCUAGGUGUCCGGGUCGCAUGAGACUUGGGUGCCCGAGCGAAAGCGUUAAGCGCUCCACCUGGGGAGUACGCCGGCAACGGUGAAACUCAAAGGAAUUGACGGGGGCCCGCACAAGCGGAGGAACAUGUGGUUUAAUUCGAUGAUACGCGAGGAACCUUACCCGGGCUCAAACGACUCAGGAAUAUAUUGGAAACGAUGUAGCCAGCAAUGGUCUGAGUCGAGGUGCUGCAUGGUUGUCGUCAGCUCGUGCCGUGAGGUGUCGGCUUAAGUGCCAUAACGAGCGCAACCCCUACCGCCAGUUGCCAACGGGUAAAGCCGGGAACUCUGGCGGGACUGCCGGCGCAAGCUGCGAGGAAGGCGGGGAUGACGUCAAAUCAGCACGGCCCUUACGUCCGGGGCGACACACGUGUUACAAUGGCAGGUACAGCGGGAAGCCACCUGGUGACAGGGAGCGGAACCCGAAAGCCUGUCUCAGUUCGGAUUGGAGUCUGCAACUCGACUCCAUGAAGCUGGAUUCGCUAGUAAUCGCGCAUCAGCCAUGGCGCGGUGAAUACAAAGCCGGGCCUUGUACACUCCGCCCGUCAAG